AUACGGAGGGUGCAAGCGUUACUCGGAAUCACUGGGCGUAAAGCGCGCGCAGGCGGGCUGAUACGUUGGAUGUGAAAGCCUACGGCUCAACCGUAGAACUGCAUCCAAAACUGUCAAUCUAGAGUGUGGGAGAGGAAGAUGGAAUUAGUUGUGUAGGGGUAAAAUCCGUAGAGAUAACUAGGAAUACCAAAAGCGAAGGCAAUCUUCUGGAACACUACUGACGCUGAGGCGCGAAGGCGAGGGGAGCAAACAGGAUUAGAAACCCUAGUAGUCC
rnacentral:rRNA from 1 species